rnacentral:rRNA from 1 species
UACGUAGGGAGCAAGCGUUGUUCGGAUUUACUGGGCGUAAAGGGCGCGUAGGCGGCAAAUUAAGUCAGCUGUGAAAUCUCCGAGCUUAACUCGGAACGGUCAGCUGAUACUGAUCUGCUAGAGUGCGGAAGGGGCAAUCGGAAUUCUUGGUGUAGCGGUGAAAUGCGUAGAUAUCAAGAGGAACACCUGAGGUGAAGACGGGCUGCUGGGCCGACACUGACGCUGAGUGCGCGAAAGCCAGGGGAGCAAACGGG